GAUGAACGCUGGCGGCGUACCUAAUACAUGCAAGUCGAGCGAACAGACGAGGAGCUUGCUCCUCUGACGUUAGCGGCGGACGGGUGAGUAACACGUGGAUAACCUACCUAUAAGACUGGGAUAACUUCGGGAAACCGGAGCUAAUACCGGAUAAUAUAUUGAACCGCAUGGUUCAAUAGUGAAAGACGGUUUUGCUGUCACUUAUAGAUGGAUCCGCGCCGCAUUAGCUAGUUGGUAAGGUAACGGCUUACCAAGGCGACGAUGCGUAGCCGACCUGAGAGGGUGAUCGGCCAUACUGGAACUGAGACACGGUCCAGACUCCUACGGGAGGCAGCAGUAGGGAAUCUUCCGCAAUGGGCGAAAGCCUGACGGAGCAACGCCGCGUGAGUGAUGAAGGUCUUCGGAUCGUAAAACUCUGUUAUUAGGGAAGAACAAAUGUGUAAGUAACUAUGCACGUCUUGACGGUACCUAAUCAGAAAGCCACGGCUAACUACGUG
rnacentral:rRNA from 1 species